CGCCUCAACGACCCACCUCUUCGACAGCGUCUCAUUAGCCCAGCAAGCACGUGCGCGACAAAAAAUGAGUGGCAAUGAUCUACUCCCUCUCUGGAUCGGGACGCCUCAGCGAGGGGUGACGCAGGACGAUGCGUCGGAUCCGUACACGUCCAAGGUCGGUGGCCAGGCUGUGUACUUCCGCCUUGGUGCGAGCACAGCGGAACAACAAUCUGCUGGCGCGCUGAGUAAGUACUUUCAAUGCCCGCAGUGUAAGUCCACUGCCCACGUCUCGCUUCUGUGCCAGGUGUACGCCCCCCUAGAGGUCUACGAUCGAGUGCUGUACAUUCUCACGUGUGCCGCCUGUACGCGUAGGUCAAGAGCAGCCGCCUCUUUUCAUGAAAGCGUACCAGUGCCUGCACUGACCACCAGCACCAGCAAAAAGAGCGGCCUUGCUGCUGCUGCUGCAAGGUCUCACACCAGUUUUUGCUAUGCCCUGCGGAGCCAGAACUUCAGCCGCGAGUACUUUGCCGAGUUGCAGGAGCAGCUUCGCGCGGAGGUUCAAAGGGCAACCGAGAAUGAGGAAAAGGCGGAGGACGAUGCACCGCUCUUUGGUGGCGGUGACGACGAUUGGGGAGACGACGCAGACGACUGGGGCACGGAGGAGGGGCCGGUAAAGGAGGCAAGACCGUCACCUGCGGCGCCGCUCGACGACGCCAGCGACACAAACGAUGCACUAGAGAAGACACCGAAGGAACUGCCCGCAUUCCCGCUGGCGUCGCGUGGCAUGACCGUACCCCUGAAAGGCGCUUUGUACACGAGUGGCGUUCCGCUUGAUCUGUAUGAAGAGCCUCCGCCAAAACAGAAGAAAGAGCUCUCGAUCGAGGAGCAACUGGCUGCUGCGAAGUCCAUGUACGGCAGCUCUGCAGCGCUGGACACGAGUGGCUUUGAGGAAGACGAUGAGGCUCCCGAAGAUACGUGCGUGCGUGAGUACAUGGAGCACAUGGAGCGGACCCCAUCCCAGUGCGUGCGAUGGUGCCCCGGCGGCACUCCACUACGGACGUCCACAAUUCCAAUCGGUGUGAACGGGAGCUCUCUACCGCCGCCGUGCCCCGUGUGUGGCGCGGCGCGCCAGUUUGAGAUACAGCUUACGGCCCCUGUUGUCUACUACCUGACCAAGGACAUCGGCGAGGCCAAGAACACGGCGCUGCACUUUAGCAAUGUUCUCGUGUACACUUGCAGCAGCAACUGCUACAACACCAACUCUAACCUUCCCUACCUGCCGGAGUACGUUGUGGUAGAGGAUGAACUAUAACGACGGUAAGAAGCGUCCACAAGCGCAGCGUUUUGCGCCGAGUAAGAACUUGAGGGGUAAACAGAGCUGCAUUUGCCGGGAAAGAGUGCAACCUAUCGGACUGCUUCAGCUGAUGUGUUUGUGCAGGCGUGCAUUGCCCCCUUACCCCCCCCCCCCCAGAGAUGAAAAGGACAAGAACAAAACUGCUGAGGUGAAGCACGGAGACGAAUCCUCAUGCCUCUGCCUCGCCGGCACAAUCCACUUCUCUGGUCGCACUCUCCCGCCCUCCUUUGCUGUUCGGCGGUGACGAUAUGCGUUUUUUUUAAUUUUCUUUGAUUCCACUGCCAUGCAG
rnacentral:misc_RNA from 1 species